rnacentral:rRNA from 1 species
AACGAACGCUGGCGGCAUGCCUAACACAUGCAAGUCGAACGAGACCUUCGGGUCUAGUGGCGCACGGGUGCGUAACGCGUGGGAACCUGCCCUUAGGUUCGGAAUAACUCCCCGAAAGGGGUGCUAAUACCGGAUAAUGUCUUCGGACCAAAGAUUUAUCGCCUUUGGAUGGGCCCGCAUUGGAUUAGCUAGUUGGUAGGGUAAAAGCCUACCAAGGCGACGAUCCAUAGCUGGUCUGAGAGGAUGAUCAGCCACACUGGGACUGAGACACGGCCCAGACUCCUACGGGAGGCAGCAGUGGGGAAUAUUGGACAAUGGGCGAAAGCCUGAUCCAGCAAUGCCGCGUGAGUGAUGAAGGCCUUAGGGUUGUAAAGCUCUUUUACCCGGGAUGAUAAUGACAGUACCGGGAGAAUAAGCGCCGGCUAACUCCGUG